UAGAAUGAGUACAUUACCUUGUUUUAACACAUCCAACGCGGAUCGUAUUUAUGAAUUUAUAUUUAAAUUAAACUUAGUGGGCCUAGAUUUUUUGUAAGCACCUGCCCACGCUUUCCGGCAAAGUGGUUAAAUAUUUAUACUAUGUCUACGUCGAAAAAAUCAAAUAUAUUGCGCUGACAUCCUCUAAAUGUUUCGUCUUUUUUCUUUGUAGAACGAACCAAAAAGUACAAACGAAGGUGAACAAUAUCACCACCAUUAAUUUUAACGGGGCGGUGCAGACCGUGCACCUCGCCCCUGUUGCGCCUGUGGCACCGCCGGCCGAGACCGCCACCGCCGCGCGCCAUCCGCCGACGACGCGAAAGGCGCCCAAACGUCGAUGUUAUAGGUGCAACCGUACCGGCCACGCCAUCCGGCAAUGCCUCGCCCCCAGAACAACAAGGAGGAAGCCGUGGACACCAGCCGUAGGACGUGGGGGUUCGUCGUCGACGUCCAUGACGGUGAGGCCGCCGCGGAGUCUGUGUGCAAAGUCGAGGAUAGGCACACCGACUCCCGAA